GAUGAACGCUGGCGGCGUGCCUAAUACAUGCAAGUCGAGCGAACGGACGAGAAGCUUGCUUCUCUGAUGUUAGCGGCGGACGGGUGAGUAACACGUGGAUAACCUACCUAUAAGACUGGGAUAACUUCGGGAAACCGGAGCUAAUACCGGAUAAUAUUUUGAACCGCAUGGUUCAAAAGUGAAAGACGGUCUUGCUGUCACUUAUAGAUGGAUCCGCGCUGCAUUAGCUAGUUGGUAAGGUAACGGCUUACCAAGGCAACGAUGCAUAGCCGACCUGAGAGGGUGAUCGGCCACACUGGAACUGAGACACGGGCCAGACUCCGACGGGAGGCAGCAGUAGGGAAUCUUCCGCGAUGGGCGAGAGCCUGACGGGGCAACGCCGCGUGAGUGAUGAAGGUCUUCGGAUCGUAAAACUCUGUUAUUAGGGAAGAACAUAUGUAUAAGUAACUGUGCACAUCUUGACGGUACCUAAUCAGAAAGCCACGGCUAACUACGUG
rnacentral:rRNA from 1 species